UCCCUGGUGGUCCAGUGGUUAGGACUCUGCACCUCCACUGCAGCGUGCAUGAGUUUAAUCCCUGUUUGGGGAA
rnacentral:tRNA from 1 species